rnacentral:rRNA from 1 species
UACGGGGGGGGCAAGCGUUGUUCGGAAUUACUGGGCGUAAAGGGCUCGUAGGCGGCCCACUAAGUCACACGUGAAAUCCCUCGGCUCAACCGGGGAACUGCGUGUGAGACUGGAUGGCUUGAGUUUGGGAGAGGAAUGCGGAAUUCCAGGUGUAGCGGUGAAAUGCGUAGAUAUCUGGAGGAACACCGGUGGCGAAGGCGGCAUUCUGGACCAACACUGACGCUGAGGAGCGAAAGCCAGGGGAGCAAACGGG